rnacentral:rRNA from 1 species
AUUGAACGCUGGCGGCAGGCUUAACACAUGCAAGUCGAGCGGGGAAAAGUAGCUUGCUACUUUACCUAGCGGCGGACGGGUGAGUAAUGCUUAGGAAUCUGCCUAUUAGUGGGGGACAACAUCUCGAAAGGGAUGCUAAUACCGCAUACGUCCUACGGGAGAAAGCAGGGGACCUUCGGGCCUUGCGCUAAUAGAUGAGCCUAAGUCGGAUUAGCUAGUUGGUGGGGUAAAGGCCUACCAAGGCGACGAUCUGUAGCGGGUCUGAGAGGAUGAUCCGCCACACUGGGACUGAGACACGGCCCAGACUCCUACGGGAGGCAGCAGUGGGGAAUAUUGGACAAUGGGGGGAACCCUGAUCCAGCCAUGCCGCGUGUGUGAAGAAGGCCUUUUGGUUGUAAAGCACUUUAAGCGAGGAGGAGGCUACCGAGAUUAAUACUCUUGGAUAGUGGACGUUACUCGCAGAAUAAGCACCGGCUAACUCUGU